rnacentral:tRNA from 1 species
GGGGCCGUAGUUCAGCGGUCUAGAAUGCCAGACUGUCGAUCUGGAAGUCGCGGGUUCGAAUCCCGUCGGCCCCGCCA